AAUUUUUCAACCAAACAAAUUAACGCUCCUAGUACUACAGACAACACAGUAUCGUGACUACUAUCAAACAACAACAAAUCCCCCAAGAAGAAAAUUGGGAAUGAGAAUUGACGAUUUUGACACAAUUAUUGAAAUCAUACUAUAAAAUUGGGAUGCAGAUGCUUAUGUAUGAAAGAUGUCGUGUGAGUUAGGCUUGAUGGAAGGCUAACCAUUGACAACCUCUAUUUUUGCCGUGGGUUUUU
rnacentral:lncRNA from 1 species